GAGCAGUUAGAGCAACUGUACAGGUUUCUUAAUCAGUCACAAUCUCUCCCAAAUCCUUCAUCUUCUAGUUCUUUAGCCCAGAAAGGUAAUAAUUUCACUGCUUUAGGAGUUGUUUAUGAGAAAAAAGAUCCAUGGAUCAUCGAUUCAGGAGCAACCGAUCAUAUGACCAGCCAUUCUAAAUUAUUUUCUUCAUAUAUUCCAUGUUCUGGUAGUCAAAAAAUUAAAAUUGCUGAUGGUUCACUAUCUUCUGUAGCAGGAAAAGGAUCUAUUCCUAUCUCCACAAAUUUGGUGUUAACAUCUGUUCUUCAUGUUCCUAAUUUGUCUUGUAAUCUUUUAUCUGUUAGCAAAAUUACCAAGGAUCUUCAUUGCAUUGCUAAAUUCUCUCCUUCCUAUUGUGAAUUUCAGGACCUGUGUUCGGGGAAGAAGAUUGGCAGUGCUAGAGAGGUAGAUGGUUUGUACUACUUCGAGGAGGAUGUUAGUUUGUGUGGAGAAGCUCAGGCAGCAAAUAAUGAAGUAACUUUCUCUAUUGAAGAUGAAAUAAUGUUGUGGCAUCUCCGAUUAGGUCAUCCUAGUUUUUCUUAUUUACAACAUUUGUUUCCUUUUCCUAUUGUGAAUUUCAGGACCUGUGUUCGGGGAAGAAGAUUGGCAGUGCUAGAGAGGUAGAUGGUUUGUACUACUUCGAGGAGGAUGUUAGUUUGUGUGGAGAAGCUCAGGCAGCAAAUAAUGAACUAACUUUCUCUAUUGAAGAUGAAAUAAUGUUG
rnacentral:lncRNA from 1 species